UAACUUGUGAGACUUCUCAUGAGUGAGGUGAAUUCUAUCUCAUUUUCCUUUUACUAACUUUUUAUUUUAUUUUAUUUUUCUUUGUUCAUGUGUUAGUAUAUCUUUUAUUUAGUUUUUAGUUAAUCUUAAUAAUUUUUUUUCUUUAGAAUUUUAUUUUCUUUUAUUUUCUUUUGUUUUCUCUGUUUUUAAUUCACAAAUUGCUAGUUGUGCAUGCCAUAUUGAAU
rnacentral:lncRNA from 1 species